GUAGUCAGGGAGCCCAGGGGAUGGUGCCGCCCACAUCAGGAUGGAUCUUCUUGAUUAAAACUCAUAAAACAGACAGCAGAGGUAUGUCUCCUGGGUGAUUCCGAAUCUCAUCAAAUCGAGUAAAUUAACUGUCACAAGUUCAACCUUUGUCAGUCAGAUGUCCAGACACAUUACUUCUUAAACUUUUAUUAGGAUGUAUUUUAUUAGCUCUGGUUAUACAUCUAUGUGUUUGAGUGUGGAUAUGAACACAUGUGAACAGUUGCCCAUACAGGUCAGAAGUUUGAGAAGCCCUGGAGCAGACAAGUGUGAUCUGCUUAGCACAAGCACAUCUCCUGAGUCAGGCGAUUUCAAAUGCCGGCAAGCUGGAAAGGAAGGUUAACUGUAACUGUCAUCUUUAUUUUUCUUAAAUCUGUAAGUAAAGUCAGUCAAGUCGGCAUUUUAGGAACCCUUCCUGACCGGCUUAUUCCAGACAGCACGAGAAGAAGCCCCAUGAGCGGAGGCUGGAGCAGACAAGUGUGAUCUGCUUAGCACAAGCACAUCUCCUGAGUCAGGUGAUUUCAAAUACUGGCAAUUUCAAGUCGGCAUUUUAGGAACCCUUCCUGACCGGCUUAUUCCAGACAGCACGAGAAGAAGCCCCAUGAGCGGAGGCUGGAGCAGACAAGUGUGAUCUGCUUAGCACAAGCACAUCUCCUGAGUCAGGUGAUUUCAAAUACUGGCAAUUUCAAGUCGGCAUUUUAGGAACCCUUCCUGACCGGCUUAUUCCAGACAGCACGAGAAGAAGCCCCAUGAGCGGAGGCUGGAGCAGACAAGUGUGAUCUGCUUAGCACAAGCACAUCUCCUGAGUCAGGUGAUUUCAAAUACUGGCAAUUUCAAGUCGGCAUUUUAGGAACCCUUCCUGACCGGCUUAUUCCAGACAGCACGAGAAGAAGCCCCAUGAGCGGAGGCUGGAGCACACCUGCCCUGUAGGUUUCUGUGGAUUCCUUAGAUGAGCAAGCACCUGUGAUACUGUCUAUGCUCAGGACAAUGCUGUGUUUGCACUCUGGUGAAGGGCGUGGCAGGAAGCCCUGGUGCUGUGUGGCGUGUGCCUUGCACAACUUGCACUCUUGUAACUGCAGCUGCACGUUACGUAUAAGCAUAUACAGCUUGCUGCCAGGUAGGGAACUGGGGUAGGGAAAGGAAACUUACAGUCUUAGAAUGUCUUGAGCAUGGCUUCUGAAUUACUGAAUAAAAUCUAAAUGAUCUGCCAGGUAAGCAGUCAGAAGGAGUGACAACAUGUAAACAGAACAGCCAGCAUGGUGGUAGUGGUGGUGGUGGGGGGACCCUAGGUAGAACCACCACAGGGAAGGGACCUGAGCUGCAGUGACCACCCUGGGUUUUAGCCUCUGAACUAGAAGGCAUUCUCUGCUUCUCCCUGGGGCAACCAUUCACUGCCCAGGUUUGACUCCUCCAGGUUCCACAAGCUUUGUUUCUGGAGUUCUUGGACCAGACAUCAACCAAGUUAUGGCCAAGCAGAUACGUUUCAUGUGGCUCACAUGAGGGUGGUUUUCCUAAUUGGGUCAUGAUUUUAAAGUACAAUUAGCUCACAGUGGGAGUAAAACUGCAUCUCUAGGGUUUGUUUUGUUUGUUCCCUUUAAUUGGAAAACUUGGGUUGUUGGAGGCACACAUCCCACAUGACACUCAGCCAGCCACAUUCUGGCUGUAACAUUUGAAAAGAGUCAUCCAGUUCCCCUCAGACCCUUCCCAUUGCUAGCUCUCUGACAGACACCUCAUUAGUUGGUCCCUAUGGGUGUCAGUCUGUGGUGGCAAGCCCCGGAUAAACACUGGAGAGAAACAAACCUGUUAACUGUAUUAGUGUAUCGUAGGACAAAAAGAUAAACUGCUACAAUUCCUACGGAUGCAAGAUCAAAAUGCCAAGCCCUUUGUAUAACGAUGUUUAGGAAUUUGAAGAUAGCUACCACCAAGAAUGAAAUCAAGGUUGAGACUUCUCUCUCUCUCUCUCUCUCUCUCUCUCUCUCUCUCUCUCUCUCUCUCUCUCUCUCACACACACACACACACACACACACACUCUCUCUCCUUUUGAGAUGGUAUUUGGUAUAUUUAGCAUUGUCUCUAGUUCAUGCAGGCAUGAGCCACUACAUCCAAUGUAUGUGCUAAGAACCAAUCAAACCCAAGGCUUUGGUAUACACCAGGCAAGCACUCUACCAACAGAGCCACCUCUAACACCAUAGAGCAAGAUACUCUGAGCAUAGGCAACUGCACAGCUCACACACUCAGAAAGCCAACUCUACAUAGUAAGUAGGUGUGUUGAGUUAACAGAGAACAGGUGCCUUGCCCCUAACAUGGCAAUUUAGCUGUCCUGUCCUCAUUAGGAAAAGAGGGAGGGCACUGGUUCCUGGAAUAAAUGCUGGGGGGCUCUGAAAAAUGACCACUGCCUCCCUCCUGUGAUGGAGGCCAGAAGUGACUUUAAUCGAAUUGGAGAUGGGGAAAUAGAUCUGACACUGCUAUGCAAGGAAUACAAUAAAAAUAUAUUCCUACCCCACCAUGGUGCUUUGCACAUGUGGGUGGGUCCUAACAGGGAUUCAAAUAGGCACAAAUGUUAAUGUGCUAAAACCCAAUAAAGUAGUUUAAUUUC
rnacentral:lncRNA from 1 species